GAUGAACGCUGGCGGCGUGCCUAAUACAUGCAAGUCGAGCGAACGGACGAGAAGCUUGCUUUUCUGAUGUUAGCGGCGGACGGGUGAGUAACACGUGGAUAACCUACCUAUAAGACUGGGAUAACUUCGGGAAACCGGAGCUAAUACCGGAUAAUAUUUUGAACCGCAUGGUUCAAAAGUGAAAGACGGUCUUGCUGUCACUUAUAGAUGGAUCCGCGCUGCAUUAGCUAGUUGGUAAGGUAACGGCUUACCAAGGCAACGAUGCAUAGCCGACGUGAGAGGGUGAUCGGCCACACUGGAACGGAGACACGGUCCAGACUCCUACGGGAGGCAGCAGUAGGGAAUGUGCCGCAAUGGGCGAAAGCCUGACGGAGCAACGCCGCGUGAGUGAUGAAGGUCUUCGGAUCGUAAAACUCUGUUAUUAGGGAAGAACAUAUGUGUAAGUAACUGUGCACAUCUUGACGGUACCUAAUCAGAAAGCCACGGCUAACUACGUG
rnacentral:rRNA from 1 species